rnacentral:SRP_RNA from 1 species
GCCGGACGCGGUGGCGCGCGCCUGUAGUCCCAGCUACUCGGGAGGCUGAGAUGGGAGGAUCGCUUGAGCCCAGGAGUUCUGGGCUGUAGUGCGCUAUGCCGAUCGGGUGUCCGCACUAAGUUCGGCAUCAAUAUGGUGACCUCCCGGGAGCGGGGGACCACCAGGUUGCCUAAGGAGGGGUGAACCGGCCCAGGUCGGAAACGGAGCAGGUCAAAACUCCCGUGCUGAUCAGUAGUGGGAUCGCGCCUGUGAAUAGCCACUGCACUCCAGCCUGGGCAACAUAGCGAGACCCCGA